UACAGAGGUCCCAAGCGUUGUUCGGAUUCACUGGGCGUAAAGGGUGCGUAGGUGGUUGGGUAAGUCUGAUGUGAAAUCUCCGGGCUCAACCCGGAAAUGGCAUUGGAUACUAUUCGGCUAGAGGUUUGGAGGGGGACUGGAAUUCUCGGUGUAGCAGUGAAAUGCGUAGAUAAUCGAGAGGAACACCAGUGGCGAAGGCGAGUCCCUGGACAACACCUGACACUGAGGCACGAAAGCUAGGGGAGCAAACAGG
rnacentral:rRNA from 1 species